GCAUAUGAUGUGGACAAUCCCGCAAGUAACCCUUAAACCUCUUCCAUGCCUGUGAUAGAGAUUCAGAGUCUUUCUGAGUGAAGGUGGCAAUCUUUACUCUCAGCUC